rnacentral:rRNA from 1 species
CAUGCAAGUCCGAGCGAACAGAAAAGGAGCUUGCUCCUUUGACGUUAGCGGCGGACGGGUGAGUAACACGUGGGCAACCUACCCUAUAGUUUGGGAUAACUCCGGGAAACCGGGGCUAAUACCGAAUAAUCUCUUUUKCUUCAUGGUGAAAGACUGAAAGACGGUUUCGGCUGUCGCUAUAGGAUGGGCCCGCGGCGCAUUAGCUAGUUGGUGAGGUAACGGCUCACCAAGGCGACGAUGCGUAGCCGACCUGAGAGGGUGAUCGGCCACACUGGGACUGAGACACGGCCCAGACUCCUACGGGAGGCAGCAGUAGGGAAUCUUCCACAAUGGGCGAAAGCCUGAUGGAGCAACGCCGCGUGAGUGAAGAAGGUUUUCGGAUCGUAAAACUCUGUUGUAAGGGAAGAACAAGUACAGUAGUAACUGGCUGUACCUUGACGGUACCUUAUUAGAAAGCCACGGCUAACUACGUGCCAGCAGCCGCGGUAAUACGUAGGUGGCAAGCGUUGUCCGGAAUUAUUGGGCGUAAAGCGCGCGCAGGCGGUCCUUUAAGUCUGAUGUGAAAGCCCACGGCUCAACCGUGGAGGGUCAUUGGAAACUGGGGGACUUGAGUGCAGAAGAGGAAAGUGGAAUUCCAAGUGUAGCGGUGAAAUGCGUAGAGAUUUGGAGGAACACCAGUGGCGAAGGCGACUUUCUGGUCUGUAACUGACGCUGAGGCGCGAAAGCGUGGGGAGCAAACAGGAUUAGAUACC